rnacentral:rRNA from 1 species
CCGAAGGUGGGGCUGAUGACUGGGGUGAAGUCGUAACAAGGUAGCCGUACCGGAAGGUGCGGCUGGAUCACCUCCUAA